rnacentral:rRNA from 1 species
CCCGGGCCUUGUACACACCGGCCCGUCACACCACGAAAGUUGGUAACACCCGAAGCCAGUGCCCAACCCUUACGGGAGGGAGCUGUCGAAGGUGGGAUCGAGCGAGUUGGGUG